AGAAUGGCAAUGAAGGAAAGAAGUAGUUUAAUGUUUCUGACUAAAGAGAGAGGACGGUUGGUGUGAGUUCUUGCAGAGCAUUUUAUGAAGCAGUUUCCAGAGCUUCUGUCCGGUAAAAAGGACGGACGCUGUCACAGCGUUAUUGUGAAUUUACUAAGAGCCCCUUUCGGGGAAUUAGGGUGGUACCGCGUGAGAUAUCUCUCGUCCCUUUG
rnacentral:ncRNA from 1 species